AACGAACGCUGGCGGCAUGCCUAACACAUGCAAGUCGAACGAGACCUUCGGGUCUAGUGGCGCUCGGGUGCGUAACGCGUGGGAACCUGCCCUUAGGUUCGGAAUAACUCCCCGAAAGGGGUGCUAAUACCGGAUAAUGUCUUCGGACCAAAGAUUUAUCGCCUUUGGAUGGGCCCGCGUUGGAUUAGCUUGUUGGUAGGGUAAAAGCCUACCAAGGCGACGAUCCAUAGCUGGUCUGAGAGGAUGAUCAGCCACACUGGGACUGAGACACGGCCCAGACUCCUACGGGAGGCAGCAGUGGGGAAUAUUGGACAAUGGGCGAAAGCCUGAUCCAGCAAUGCCGCGUGAGUGAUGAAGGCCUUAGGGUUGUAAAGCUCUUUUACCCGGGAUGAUAAUGACAGUACCGGGAGAAUAAGCUCCGGCUAACUCCGUG
rnacentral:rRNA from 1 species